AACGAACGCUGGCGGCAGGCCUAACACAUGCAAGUCGAACGGUUGUAGCAAUACAGCAGUGGCAGACGGGUGAGUAACACGUGGGAACCUUCCUAGAGGUACGGAACAACGCAGGGAAACUUGCGCUAAUACCGUAUACGCUCUUGCGAGGAAAGAUUUAUCGCCUUUAGACGGGCCCGCGUCGGAUUAGCUAGUUGGUGAGGUAACGGCUCACCAAGGCGACGAUCCGUAGCUGAUCUGAGAGGAUGAUCAGCCACACUGGGACUGAGACACGGCCCAGACUCCUACGGGAGGCAGCAGUGGGGAAUCUUGGACAAUGGGCGCAAGCCUGAUCCAGCCAUGCCGCGUGAGUGAAGAAGGCCUUCGGGUUGUAAAGCUCUUUUGUCAGGGACGAUAAUGACGGUACCUGAAGAAUAAGCCCCGGCAAACUUCGUGCCAGCAGCCGCGGUAA
rnacentral:rRNA from 1 species